rnacentral:rRNA from 1 species
CCUGGCUCAGGAUGAACGCUAGCUACAGGCUUAACACAUGCAAGUCGAGGGGCAUCAUGAAGUUUGCUUGCAAACUUGAUGGCGACCGGCGCACGGGUGAGUAACGCGUAUCCAACCUGGCCCGCAGUAGGGAACAGCCCGGCGAAAGUCGGAUUAAUGCCCUAUGUCUUCCUUUGCAGGCAUCCAAUGAGGAAGAAAGAUUUAUCGCUGCGGGAUGGGGAUGCGUCUGAUUAGCUUGUCGGCGGGGUAACGGCCCACCGAGGCGACGAUCAGUAGGGGUUCUGAGAGGAAGGUCCCCCACACUGGUACUGAGACACGGACCAGACUCCUACGGGAGGCAGCAGUGAGGAAUAUUGGUCAAUGGGCGAGAGCCUGAACCAGCCAAGUAGCGUGCAGGAACCGACUGCCCUAUGGGUUGUAAACUGCUUUUAUGCGGGGAUAAACUUCAGCACGUGUGCUGUUUUGCAGGUACCGCAUGAAUAAGGACCGGCUAAUUCCGUGCCAGCAGCGGC